UACGUAGGUGACAAGCGUUGUCCGGAUUUACUGGGCGUAAAGAGCGCGCAGGCGGUCGAUCAAGUCGAGUGUGAAAGCCCCCGGCUCAACUGGGGAGGGUCAUUCGAUACUGAUCGACUGGAAGGCAGGAGAGGGUAGUGGAAUUCCCGGUGUAGUGGUGAAAUGCGUAGAUAUCGGGAGGAACACCAGUGGCGAAGGCGACUACCUGGCCUGUUCUUGACGCUGAGGCGCGAAAGCUAGGGGAGCAAACGGGG
rnacentral:rRNA from 1 species